rnacentral:lncRNA from 1 species
GUUCACUUUACCAUAUUUGGCUGUUUCCCAGUUGAGCAAUCAGACAACAUUAGCACUUCCAUUGGGCCCACACCUCAAGAAAUUCAUGAGAUGAAUUGUCAAAACAAUCACAUGGUCUGCCGACCAUCUUAACUUCCCAUGUUCCUCCUCUUCAUCCUAUGAGAUGUAACAUUUUCUCUACUCAUUUAUUAUUCACCGAAAAGUACAAUCCAAGACACAGAUUUCAGGAACGUAACGUUUUCUCUACUCAGUUAUUAUUCACCGAAAAGUACAAUCCGAGACACAGAUUUCAGGAAACAAAAGUAAAAGGUGUUCUCUUUAUUUAUCUUCUUACCCUAUCUUUUCAUUUUCCUUUUCUCUGCAAAAUCUCCAGAUAUGCUCAAGGGUUUAAGGGGUAAGUAUACAUUUUUGGACAUGCAAAAAAAACCUACCUUUUCUGAGUUUCUCUUUACAUGUCUGUAAAAGGUUCCAACUUUUCACCGGUUUUUGUUACAUUUUUAGCCUGAAUGGUUCAUGCGUAAUUCUGUUCGGGGGCUGAGGAUAUUUUUUACUCUCCGGCUCUCUGUUUGGUCCAAGUGGCAAUUUUGAUGUUUUGGGUCUCUGAUUUUUGUUAGAGGUUUUUUUCCUUUUUGGAAAAAAAUUCCAACGUUUAUGUAAAGCAAUUUUAAUUUUUUCUAGAGAACUUUUCUAAAGCUAAAUUUGGCAAUAUUUCCUAGGGCAAUGUUGCUUCGGAAAGAAUAUAUUAUCGUGUUUUUUUGGUUAUAUCUUCACGAUUUUGUCAAAAUUACUUUUUCAAGCAAAGAUUUUCUUUCUGUUAGAGCACCUACUUUAUAUGUUUGGAAUUAGCUCGGAAAAUUUCAUUAAUUAAUAAUAAUAUAAUGAGUUGUAAGCAUUUUACUUUCGCCUAUCAUUCUUUGUUUUGGUAAAAUUUGAGGAUAAAUGAGAAGAUUCUGUGAUACUUGGAAUCUAAGUAGACUCCUACUUUUGGUAGGACAAUUAUACCAUAUAGUUACUUUCUAACUUACCUACUAGGUUUUGCAUACGCAUUAUACAUGUAUUCCUAUAAUAUUUGAAUACGGUAACAUUAUAAACCUACGCUGUAUAUACCACUACUUUUUACUUUUCCUUAAUUUGAAGUCUUAGGUUUCGCUCUACUAAACCAUUAACAGAGAUAGUGCAGGAAAAGGUGAGAUGCAUGGGUUAUGUGUAUGAAUGAUGUGCUUGACUCCUUGUUCAAUGGAGCCAUUGUAUAGUUAUACAAUAUAUAAUAAAUGUUGAAUCUCCUCUGUCUUGGUGUAUGUACUUGUUUAUACUUUGAAUUCCCUUAGUAAAAUCUUGGCUCUGUUACAUAAUGGCUAUGUAACGCGUUUUCCAUUUGCUUUGACCUAUUCUUGUUUACAAUGUUGGUGUGGUUUCAUGGUAUAUAGUUCUAAUUCUUCUUGGGUAUAUCUCAGAAUAUUAAUAUGGUUGAACAAAAUUGUUGGGAUUACAUUCCCAUGGGGCCCAUCGUCGAUGAAGACUUUGAAAGCUUACUCAAUAGUUUGGACUUCCCCUUGGAAAGUUUGGAAGAAGACGGCCUCGGUAGAGAUUGGGAUCCUAGCCUGUACCAAUUACUCGGGCCAAUCCCUGCGGAUGCGUUACCUCCAGUGUCCCGUGGCGAUAAUGCCAAUGGCUGUUUGAAUGCAGCUGUGAGUUUUAACUUGGACAGCAUACAUGCCCUUUUCUUAUUAGUUAGUUAUUAAUUCUUUCUUUGUUUUUCAAAUAUGUGUUUUGCUAUACACUUUGCUAUAGGGAAGCAUCCCUUUCUCUAAUAGAACAAUUUUGAUUUGAUUUUUGCUAAGUAAGAAGGGAAAGCUACUUUACCCGUCCCUAAAAGAAUUUAUUUUCUUUCAAUCUUUUUGGUUUUUGAAUUUAAAAGACUAAACCGGAAAAAUAUUGCUUUAAUUUUAGCUAAGCUAAAUAAUAAGGGAGAGUUUGCUUUACCAGGCUCAUUUUUGGUGUUUGAAUGUAGAAGACUAAACCAGAAAAAGAAAAAUGUGGAAGACUAAAACAACAACAAAAGGACAGAGUAUUAAAGCUUUGAAACUUUCAUAAAUAUAUGUUGUAUGAUCCCUGCCUCUUGACAAGUGAUAUUAGCUUAUUUGCACAUGUCCUUUACCUUAAUGGCUCCCUCCCAGCCUCCUCAAUGUCCCAAUUUUUGAUAAGUGAUAUUAGCUUAUUUGCACAUGUCCUUUACCUUAAUGGCUCCCUCCCAGCCUCCUCAGUGUUCCAAUUUUUUAUACAAAUGGAGGUAAUGUCAUUCUUGCUUGGAAAUCCAAUAAAGAAUAGAUCAAUCUUAUCGUAGUUGUAAUGACACAAUUUGUUUCAUUUUCAUAAAUUCUAGUGCUUUAGCGUUAUAGGAGGAAAAGGGACUUGUUUCCCACACAUAGAGGUUUUAAAUGUUCAGUUUCAUAUCUUGCUAUACAACAUUCUAUAAUAGUCAUCCCUGCUUUUUUAGUGCAACUAGACUGAUACGUAGCUUAGCGAGUCUUGCGCGUUGACCUGCUGGUGACUAAUUCUCUUAUCUUCAUGCUUGUCUUAAGUGUCUCUUUAGGUCUGAAGUAAUGGAAUUAAUCUCAAUCCCCGAGCUAAGUGAUACAAAGCUCUUCUUUAACCUCUUAGUAUUAUGCAGUUGUUCAAAUUCAAAUUUGUUCUCCUCUUUGUUGAAAUGCUUAUAUAGACAUGCACAGGUGUUCAAAUUCAAAUUUGUUCUCCUCUUUAUUGAAAUGCUUAUAUAGACAUGCAAACCAUCACAGCGUGUUCAAAACUUAUCAGUGACCUGCGGCACAUUCGCUUGGCAUGUUGUUUGUUGCCUCGAAUUUUAAGGCUAAUAUGAGAAAGAAUGGAAAACUGAACUCCCAAACUUCCUUAGAUCUUCUGUUUCUCGUUUUCUUUUUGUUGAACUCUUGUGGUUAACUCUUAAAAAAGUAGCAUUCCUAGGCAAAAAUAGCUUUUGAUUUAUGUGGAAUAAAUUUCUAACUCGGUGUUAUCCUAUCAGAAUGAAUUACCUGAGGCCCAAGGAACUGUUCCAUUCCAGGCACACAGCCCAAUUUCUGUUCUUGAACACAACAGCUCCU